AGAGUUUGAUCCUGGCUCAGGAUGAACGCUAGCGGCAGGCCUAACACAUGCAAGUCGAGGGGUAACAGGAGAGCUUGCUCUCGCUGACGACCGGCGCACGGGUGAGUAACGCGUAUGCAACCUACCUUUAACAGGGGGAUAGCCCGAAGAAAUUCGGAUUAAUACCCCAUAUUACUAUAGAUAAGCAUUUAUUUAUAUUAAAAACUCCGGUGGUUAAAGAUGGGCAUGCGUAACAUUAGAUAGUUGGUGAGGUAACGGCUCACCAAGUCUACGAUGUUUAGGGGGCCUGAGAGGGUGGUCCCCCACACUGGUACUGAGACACGGACCAGACUCCUACGGGAGGCAGCAGUGAGGAAUAUUGCGCAAUGGAGGAAACUCUGACGCAGCCAUGCCGCGUGCAGGAUGACGGCCCUACGGGUUGUAAACUGCUUUUAUACAGGAAGAAUUUUCCGCACGUGUGCGGGAUUGACGGUACUGUACGAAUAAGCACCGGCUAACUCCGUGCCGGCAGCCGCGGUAAUACGGAGGGUGCAAGCGUUAUCCGGAUUUAUUGGGUUUAAAGGGUGCGUAGGCGGGAUAAUAAGUCAGUGGUGAAAUACUGCAGCUCAACUGUAGAACUGCCAUUGAUACUGUUAUUCUUGAGUUCGAUUGAGGUAGGCGGAAUGUGUAAUGUAGCGGUGAAAUGCUUAGAUAUUACACAGAACACCGAUUGCGUAGGCAGCUUACUAAGUCGACACUGACGCUGAGGCACGAAAGCGUGGGGAGCGAACAGGAUUAGAUACCCUGGUAGUCCACGCUGUAAACUAUGAUCACUAGCUGUUGGCGAUACAUCGAUCAGCGGCAAAGCGAAAGCAUUAAGUGAUCCACCUGGGGAGUACGGUCGCAAGAUUGAAACUCAAAGGAAUUGACGGGGGCCCGCACAAGCGGUGGAACACGUGGUUUAAUUCGAUGAUACGCGAGGAACCUUACCUGGGCUUAAAUGCAGAUUGACGUUUCGGGAAACCGGAAUUCUCUUCGGAGCGAUUUGCAAGGUGCUGCAUGGUUGUCGUCAGCUCGUGCCGUGAGGUGUCGGGUUAAGUCCCAUAACGAGCGCAACCCCUAUCGUUAGUUGCCAGCGGAUCAUGCCGGGGACUCUAACGAAACUGCCGGUGUAAACCGAGAGGAAGGUGGGGAUGACGUCAAAUCAGCACGGCCCUUUAUGUCCAGGGCUACACACGUGUUACAAUGGUCGGUACAGAGGGCAGCUACCUGGUGACAGGAUGCUAAUCUCGAAAGCCGGUCUUAGUUCGGAUCGAAGUCUGCAACUCGACUUCGUGAAGCUGGAAUCGCUAGUAAUCGCGUAUCAGCAACGACGCGGUGAAUACGUGC
rnacentral:rRNA from 1 species